AAAGGUAAGCUACUAAGAGCGAAUGGUGGAUGCCUUGACUGGUAAAGGCGAUGAAGGACGUACUAGACUGCGAUAAGCUACGGGGAGCUGUCAAGAAGCUUUGAUCCGUAGAUUUCCGAAUGGGGCAACCCAAUGUAUAGAGAUAUACAUUACCUAUAUAGGAGCGAACGAGGGGAAUUGAAACAUCUUAGUACCCUCAGGAAAAGAAAUCAAUAGAGAUUGCGUCAGUAGCGGCGAGCGAAAGCGCAAGAGGGCAAACCCAGUGCUUGCACUGGGGGUUGUAGGACUGCAAUGUGCAAGAGGUAAGUUUAGCAGAACAUUCUGGAAAGUAUAACCAUAGAGGGUGAUAGUCCCGUAUGCGAAAAACAAACCUUAGCUAGCAGUAUCCUGAGUAGGGCGGGACACGAGGAAUCCUGUCUGAAUCCGGGUCGACCACGAUCCAACCCUAAAUACUAAUACCAGAUCGAUAGUGCACAAGUACCGUGAGGGAAAGGUGAAAAGAACUGAGGUGAUCAGAGUGAAAUAGAACCUGAAACCAUUUGCUUACAAUCAUUCAGAGCCCUAUGUAGCAAUACAGGGUGAUGGACUGCCUUUUGCAUAAUGAGCCUGCGAGUUGUGGUGUCUGGCAAGGUUAAGCAAACGCGAAGCCGUAGCGAAAGCGAGUCUGAAUAGGGCGCUUAGUCAGAUGCUGCAGACCCGAAACGAAGUGAUCUAUCCAUGAGCAAGUUGAAGCUAGUGUAAGAACUAGUGGAGGACUGAACCCAUAGGCGUUGAAAAGCCCCGGGAUGACUUGUGGAUAGGGGUGAAAGGCCAAUCAAACUUCGUGAUAGCUGGUUCUCUCCGAAAUAUAUUUAGGUAUAGCGUUGUGUCGUAAUAUAAGGGGGUAGAGCACUGAAUGGGCUAGGGCAUACACCAA
rnacentral:rRNA from 1 species